GACGAACGCUGGCGGCGUGCCUAACACAUGCAAGUCGAGCGGGGAAUUACCCAUGAAGUUUUCGGAUGGAAUGAGUGAUUUCUAGCGGCGGACGGGUGAGUAACGCGUGAGUAACCUGCCUCUCAGAGUGGAAUAACGUUUGGAAACGAACGCUAAUACCGCAUAACGUGAGAAGAGGGCAUCCUCUUUUUACCAAAGAUUUAUCGCUGAGAGAUGGGCUCGCGGCCGAUUAGGUAGUUGGUGAGAUAACAGCCCACCAAGCCGACGAUCGGUAGCCGGACUGAGAGGUUGAUCGGCCACAUUGGGACUGAGACACGGCCCAG
rnacentral:rRNA from 1 species